AGUCUUAAGGUGACUCAAUGCAACUAUUUCAGUUUCUUCUAGCUAACUGCAGCAUGGAAGCCCCUUGAAAGGCUCUCCUGCCUCUUCAAAGCAAGGUAGCCAAAAUUAACAAAGCAUCUCUGAGAGGGUUUGCUGUCUCCACUGAGCCAGGAAACAGCAAGUGUGAAUGAUUUGGAAAAAAAAGAAUCACAGGAUAAAUAAGGUUGAAAGGAGCCACAGUGGUCAUCUGGUGCACCCUCCCUGCUCAAGCAGGGUCACCCCAGAGCACAUUGCACAGGAUUGUCCAUAUGGUUCUUGCAUAUAAUUAUUACUGGGAAGUAUCACAGUGCUUUGUGUGUGAAUGCUGAAAGUGAACAGUGAGUAGAUGAAAGUAGCUUGUAAACCAAAAUGUAAAAGUGCAUUUUUGUUGCUUUCACUGUCUUUCAAAAAUACUUUAAGUUUUACACUAAAAAAUAUCCUCACUCUUCCUUUCUGUUUUACUCACUCUUGUGCUGGGUUGAGGGGACAGAUCAGACUCUGCAUCAGACUUGUGAAAUUUUUGAAUCUUCCAGGAAGCCAUUGCUAUGAUUCUCAAACAACUCAGAAGGAGCCACUGACCCGACACAUUGCAACCACCGUCAGUGAGUCUGUGAGUGCACCCACCACUGCACAGAGGUGCUUUGGGCUGUAUAGGUACGUAAUUUAACCUGCCAUAUGCAAGGAAAGAGCCUGCAAUCAGAUACAUCCAGAAGCUUGUGCCAGAGGUGUGAACCACUGCAAGAUACUUUCCCCUUGUAAAGUUCUUGCCAGAUAAAUAAGUAAAAGUAUUAGGGUACAGAUAAUAUGCUGGUACAGAAGGGAAGCAAUUGAACUUGCGGAGCCUGAGGCUGCCUGCACUUUAAUUUGGCCACUUUCCUUGAUUUUCAUUUAAGCCAGUACAGAAGAGGCAAUACUGUGACACACAGAAAAUAAGUGUACCCUUUGUAAGGUAGCCUGGGUUCAAUAAGACCACAUCAGUUCAGCUCAGCAGAGAAUUUUACAUAUUUCUUCUCCCUGAUGCCAUUAUCAGCCCUCCAGAGCCCUGCGUUAUUACUUUUUUUCGAUUGCUUUUGAAACACUGAUGCAGUUUCUCAAAGCAAUGAGGUCGUUUUCAUUUAUGAGAAUAUUCUUUUCCAGACUAUGAUGCAGAAGAGGUUUUCAGAAAGCAAUAACUGAAGCUCAGUGCCUUUAAUGUGCUUGUAGUUUUUUAAGUUGAGUACACAAUACUGUCAACAGCUUUUAUACCCAAGGAAUGAGGCAAAACAUUGCAUGUAAACACACUAAAGUCUUUAAGGGGAAAGGAAUAAAUGGAAACUAUGAUGGUUGUAGGAUUUUGAUGGUCUAUCUUUAAGAAAAUUCCUCUUUGUGACAACUCCAUCCCUACAGAUAUUCCCCACCAGACAGAUUACUUUUGUCUGCUAAUCAG